ensembl:lncRNA
AUGAAAUAGAUACUGGAGUGCUGUGAAAAGAAUGGGUAAAGAGGUAUAAGGAGCUAAGAAACCUGAAUGUCUAGAACUCAGAGAAAGAAAGCAAAAGAGAUGUGGACACUGAGAGAAAUCCAACUAGAGAUAGUGAGAAAUAGGAGAUGGAUGGAGAAAGACAUCAAAAGUAUGAGAAAUGUAUGAAAAGAGAGAGCAAGAGAGUGAGUGAUGUGUGGAAAUAGCCCUGUCACGCACAGAAAAGAUAUUUGGCUGGAAAUAAGUGUGCUUUGCUGUGUGUGUGUGUGUGUGGGGGGGUGGUAUAUGCGUGUGUGUGUAUGCCUAUGUGUCUGUGCGUGUGUUCGUGCACGUGCGUGUGUGGGUAUGUGCGUGCGUGUGUGUGCAUGUGCGUGUAUGUGUAUGAAAGCAGAAGCCUAAGCCAUGCAGGAUGAAUAGCUGACAAACAACUAAACCAUGAAAGGAUGAAAGAUGAGAGGGUGAGUGUCAAAAAUGCUUCGCUGCACAAGAGCCAUUGGAGAACGUGCAAGAAAAUGGUGAAGAGUGAAAGUGAUGAUUGGGCGUUUAGAAAAUCUACCUGAAUGAAUGAAUGAGGAGAGAAGUGAUGGAGUGAAUGAGCGUGGUGUGGAGAGACAAGGCUGCUCCCUGUGGGCUAUGCGGCUAAAUCUAUUGAGCUUGAUUGUGACCGAUGUAUGAAAGCAGAAACUCCAGGUUUGUGUGGUCAAGGGAUCAUUGAGCUAUAGAGGGGCAGAGAAGAGUUUAGGGUCUAGUACUAAUAGAGCAUGAAUGAAUACAGAAGAGGCCGGGCCACUGUGAAAAACAAAGAGUGAGAAAAUGUGAGAUUGCUGGUACGAAAGGUCAAAAGUGUGAGAUGUGUGAAGGUGGAAAUGCUCUGGAGUGAGAGGUGCCUGGGUAAAGGUAACUGUCAAAACACUGAAGUGAGAAAACAGAAUGGGAAAUAAUCAAGGACAGACUGCUGAGCAAAGGGAGAAAGCCAAGAUUUUAGAAGCAAGAAGAUAAAGUGGUUCUAGGGAACUAACAAGGUAAACACAAGGACAUAUUGAUAAAGACUAGUGAGAUGUGGCUGGUACAAAUAUCACUGGGGAGUCAGACACCUUUGUGAAAUAAGAUGUUGAUUGGGACUUGAAUGUGUAGAGCAAGGCCAACUCUGAGUGUUGGCUAAUUGGCCAUAUGCAGAAGAUGAGAGAUGAACAGCUAAAGAGAACGAGAGGGGAAAGUAGAGUAAGAAAUCCAGAUGGGAUGAAGGUGAGAAUGUAAGACACAGAGGCCAAAAGAAAAGUGUGAGAAGAGACCCAACUUCUGAUACUUGAGGGGACAGUCAAAUUCCAAUAAGAAAAAUGCUGAAUGGAAAGAGAAGGCAAUGUGAGAUGACUGAAUGGGGGAGCAGCAAAGAAAAGAAUAAUAAUCAGUGAUACUGAAUGAAAGAGAAACAUGGGGACAAGAACACAGAGAAGGGGAAUUGAAUGGGAAGAGAAGUUGAUAGUGUGAAAGGUGUAGAAAAGGAGAUAUACUUGCAAGGGAGCCCAAUGGAUACUUAAGAGUAUAGAAGGUAGAUCGUGGUGAUAUACAGGUAGUAAAAGUCAAGACACUAUUAGAAGAGAACCCAAGAGUUAAAUGAAUGGAGAAAGAGGGAAAGUUAACACUGGAUAGCAAGUGAGUAAGAGAUAUCUAGAAAUGGAGAUGUAUUGAAUGUAAGAUUUGUAGCUGCAGAUCGUGAGACAAUGAGGUGAGUAGGAAAGCCCAAGAAAUCAAGUGGGGAAGGUGGAGAAAAUACAGAUUACAGGGACUGUGAAAAGGUCUAGAUGCUGAACAUUCAACAAUCAAACCUAAGAAGGAAAGGCUCAGGGAUAGGAAGCUGAAUGAAGAGCAGUAUGAAAGAUGACUGUGUCCUAGGAAAAGUCCCUGAGGGAGAGAGAAGGCCCAGACAGAUGAAGGAACAAGUGGGACAUGUAUGUGUACAGAUAUUGAGAGAUAAAUGGACAUUUUGGGGUGUCGACAUUGAAUGGAUGAAGAAAAUUUGGGAGAGGAGAGUGGAGUGAGAAAAUGAGAGUCAGAGGAUAAGUAUGUGUGGACUUAAGGGCAGAAUGAAAGAAUGAAUGGAGAGACCCAAACUCUGAUAAAUGAAUGACUGUGAAAUCUCAAUGAGAAGGAAUGCAUGAAUGUUGAGAAGGAUGCAGUGUUGAACUGAGGAGCUGAAAAGAGCAGCCACAUCCAAAGAGAAAGAGUUUUAGGGUUCUUGAGAGAAGUAGAAAGGAACAUGUGUUGAGACCUAGACUGUGGAAAAUGGAAUUUAGACACUUGAGUUAUGUGAAAUGAAUGGGGAAAGAGGUAUAAGGAACUGAGAAACCUAAAUACCUAAAAGUCAGAGGCAGAAAAUAAAGGGAACAAAGACCUAGAUCUUGCAGAGCUUCCAAGUGGAGAAAGUGAGAAUUAAGAGAUGGAUGGAGAGAGAAACCAAAAGAGUGGGCAGUGUGUGGAAAGAGAUUGAAUAAUGUAUUAAUGGAGAGAGAAAGAGAGUAAGUAAUGGAUUGAAAGAUCUGUAUGCAAGUAAGAAAUUCUGGUUGGAAAUACCUAUACAUUUCAGUGUGUGUGUGAAAGCAGAAGCCUAAAGCAUGUAGGAUGAAUAGCUGACAAACAACAAAAAGGAUGAAUGAUGAGAGGGUGAGAGUCAAAAAUGUUAUGCUUUAAAAGAACCAUUGGAGAACAUGCAAGUAAAUGGUGUAGAGUGAAAGUGAUGAUUGGGUGUUUACAAAAUCUACCUGAAGGAGCGAAGGAUAAGAGAAGUGAUGUACGGAAUGAGCAUGGUGUGGAGAGAAAAAAAGCUUUCCCCUGGGGGCUGCAUGGCUAAAUCUAGCAAGCUUGACUGUGACCAGUGUAUGAAAGGAGAAACUUCAGGUUUGUGUGGUCAAGGGAUCAUUCGACUACAGCGGGGGUAGAGAAAAGUUUAGGUCUAGUACUAAUAGAGCAUGAAUAAAUACAGAAGAGGCUGGGUCACUGUGAAAAACAAAGAGUGAGAAAAUGUCAGAUUGCUGGUAAGAAAGGUCAAACGUGUGAGAUGUGUGAAGGUGGAAAUGCUCUGGAGUUAGAGCUGCCUGGGUAAAGAUAUCUGUCAAUACACCAAAAUGAGAAAGCAGAAUGGGAAACAAUCAAGGAUGGGCUGCUGAGCAAAGGGAGAAAGCCAAGAUUUUAGAAGACAAGGAGAUAGAGGGGCUCUAGAGAACCACUGAGGUAGAAACAGGUACAUGUGGAUAGGGACUAGUGAGAUCUGGCUGCUACAAAUAUCACUGGAGUAUCAGAAACUUGUGUUCAAUAAGAUGUUGGGCCUUUGUAUGGGUAGAGCAAGGUUAACUGUGUGUGAUAGAUAACUGGCUAUAUACAGAAGAUGAGAGGUGAGUUGCUAAAGAGAAAGAGAGAGGAGAAUAGACUGAGAAAUCCAGAUGGGGCAAAGGUGAGAAUGUGAGACCCAGAGACCACAAAGAGAGGAGUGAAAGAAGAGACCCAACCUCUGAUACUUGAGGGGACAGUCAAAUUCCAAUAAGAAAAAGAGUGAGUGAAAAGAGAAGGCAAUGUGAGGUGAUUGAAUGGGAGAGCAUGAAAGAAAGGAACAAUGACUGAUGAGAAUGAUUGAAUGAGAAACAUUGGGAGAACACAGAGAAGGAGAAAUGAAUGGGAAGACAAAUCAAUAGAGUGAAAGGUUUAGAAAAAGAUACGUCAGCAGGGGAACAUAGUGGAUCUGAAGACUGAACCAGGUAGAUUUUGUUGUUAUUCAGCUAGAGAAAUGCAAGCUACUAGUAGAAGAGGAUCCAAGACUGAAAGAGUUGGAUAAAUGGGGAAAGAGGAAAAGGGAGUCAGAGUUACAUGAAAAUGGAGAUGUACUGAGAGUUUUGUAGGUUAUGAUUGUGAGACAGAAAGGGGGGCUGGAAAGCCUAUGAAAUAAAGUAUGGAAGGUGGAGAAAAGAGAGAUAGCCAAGGUUGCGAAAAGAUCAGAAUGUCAUAAAAAAAGGAGCAGGGAAAGCUCAGGGAGAAGGAGCUGAAGCAAAAGCCAUAUGAGAAAUGAUUGUAUCCUAGGGAAAAAGAGAGGAGGGAGGGAGAGGGAGAGAGAGAGAGAGAGAGAGAGAGAGAGAGAGAGAGAGAGAGAGAGAAAGAAAGCCUUGACUGAUAGAAGGGAACAAGUGGGACAUGUAUGCAUACAGAUAUUGAGGGAGGAAUGGAUAUCCUGGGGUGUUGAAAUUCAAUGGAUGAAGAGAAAUUAGGAGAGGAGAGUGGAGUGAGAACAUGAGAGAGUGAGAAGAAGAAGAUGGGUGACUGAAUGGUAGGACCAAAGAAUGAAUGGAGAGACCCAAACUCUGAUAAAUGAAUCUGUCAAAUCUCAAUGAGAAAGAAUGCAUGAAUAGCAGGAAGGAUGCAGUGUGAGAUGCUUGAAGUAAGGAGCACAAGGACAAGAAAUAAAACUGAGGAACCAAAUGCAAGGAGAAAUAAUUACUAGGGUGCCUGAGACAGAGAGAAAGGAAUACGUGAUGAGAUCUAGACUAUGGAAUUUAGACUCUUCAGACAGAAAAGAAAGGACAGAGAUCAAGACAGUGAUAGAGAGGGGUCUGAAUGGAAACAGUGAGAAAUGAGAGAUGGAUGGAUGGAGACACAAAAAGAAUCUGCACUGUAUUAAAAGAGAGCAAAGAGUGAGUGAUGUACUGAAAGAGAGCCAUAUAUAAGAGACACUUAUUUGGAAAUACCUAUUUUGCACUGAGUGUGUGUGAAAGCAGAAGCCAUAGUAAUGAAGGCUGGAUUCCUGAAAAAAAUAUCUAAACCUUGAAAGGAGGAGAGGUUGAGGUGGCGACAGUCAAGUAUUCUAUGCUGCUAAAGAGCCACUAGAGAACAUGCAAGAAAAUAGUAUAGAGUGAAAGUGAUGAUUGCCUGUUUGCAAAAUCUACCUGAAGGAGUGAAGGAUGAGAGAAGUGAUGGACUGAAUGGUCAUGAUGUGGAGAAACAACACUGCUCCCUGUGGGCUAUGCGGCUAAAUCUAGUGAGCUGGAGUGUGACUGAUGUAUGAAAGGAGAAACUCCAGGUUUGUGUGGUCAAGGGAUCAUCCAGCUGCAGAAGGGCAGACAGUAGUUUAGGUCUAGUAUUAAUACAGCAUGAAUGAAUACAGAAGAGGCCAGGCCACUGUGAAAAAAAUUAAAUGUGUGAGAAAAUGUGAGAUUGUUGGUAUAAAAGGUCAAGCAAGUGAGAAAUGUGAGGAUGGAAAUGCUCUGGAGUGAGAGAUGCCUGGGCAGAGAUUUCUGUCAAUUUAACAAAGUCAGAAGGCAACAUGGAAAGUAAUAAAGGAUGAGCUGCUAAGCAAAGGGCUAAAGCCAAGAUUUCAGAAGACAAGGACAUAGAGUGACUCUAGGGAACCACUGAGGUAGAGACAGGUGUAUGUAGAGACUAGUGAGGGACUAGUGAGAUCUGGCUGCUAGAAAUAACACUAGAGAGUCAGAAACUAGUGUUCAAAAUAAGAUGUUGGCCUUUGUAUGUGUAGAGCAAAGUUAACUGUGUGUGAUGGGUAACUGGCUAUAUACAGAUGAGAGAUGAGUGGCUAAAGAGAAAGAGAGAGAAUGGACUGAGAAAUGCAGAUGGGGCGAAAGUGAGAAUGUGAGACCCAAAGACCACAAAGAGAGGAGUGAAAGGAGAGACCCAACCUCUGAUACUUGUGGGGACAGUCAAAUUCCAAUAAGAAAAAGGAUGAGUGGAAAGAGAAGGUAACGUGAGGUGACUGAAUGGGGGAGCAGCAAAGAAAGGAAGUAUGCUUAGUGAGACUGGAUGAAAGAGAAACAUUUGGAGAAGAACACAGAAAAGGGGAAAUAAUUGACAAGACAAGUUAACAGAGUCAAAAGUAUAGAAAAGGAGAUAUUUCUGCACAGGAGCCCAAUGAAUACUUAGAAUAAAAGAGAUAGAUGAUUCUGAUAUUCAGAAAGGAAAAGGCAAGAUAGUAGGAAAAGAGGAGCCAGAACUGAAAGAAUACAAUGAACGCAGAAAGAGGGAAAGAAAACACUAGAUGGACAGAGCUGGAAAGUGAGCGAGAGAGAGAUUAUAAUAGAGAUGUACUCAAUGAAAGAUUUGUUGUUGCAGAUCAUGACACAGUUAAGUGGUUUGGAAAGCCAAAGAAGUAAAGUAGAGAAUGUGGAAAAAUAGAGAUAGCUGAGCAUGUGAGAAGAUGAAAAUAGUGAAGAUUCAAUACUAGCAAGGAUAAGAUCAGGGAGAGGAAGCUGAAUCAAUAGCAGUAUGAGACAGGACUGUGUCCUAGGGAAAAUCCCUGAGGGAGAGAGGAGGUCUAGACAGAUUAAGGGAACAAGUGGGACAAGUACACAUAAAGAAAUUGAGGGAUGAAUGGAUAUACUGUGAGGAGAGAAUUGAAUGGAUGAAGAGAAUUAGGAAAAGGAGAGGAGAGUAAGAAAAGGAGAGAGAAAAUAAGAGUCAGAGGAUGAAGAUGGGUGACCAAAUGGCAGACAGAAAAGAAUGAAUGGAGAGACCCAAACUCUGAUACAUGAGUGACUGUCAAAUCUUGUUGAGAAGGAACGUAUGAAUGGCAAGAAAUUUGUGGUGAGAGAUGGCUGAAUGGAGGAGCACAGGGAGGAGAAGCAAAACUGAGGAGACGCAUGCAAAGAGUAAUAGUUAGACACAGUGACUGAGAGAGGGAGAAAGGAAUCCAUGUUGAGACCUAGACUGGGGGAAAUGGAUGAAAUAGACACUCAAGUGAUGUGAACGGAAUCAAUAAAGAGGUAUAAGCAGCUGAGAAACUAGAAUGUCUAGAACUCAGAGACAAAAAACAAAGGCAUGAGAGACCUAGACAGUGAGAGAGAUCCAAAUGGAGAGAGACACCAAAAGAGUGAGCACUAUGUGGAAAGAGACAGCAAGAGAGUGUGUGAUAUAUGGAAAUAACCCUGUACGCACAAAAGAAAUAUUUGACUGGUAAUAAGUAUGCUUUGCAGUGUGCGUGUGGAAGCAGAAGCCAUAGCUAUGAAGGAUGAAUAACUGAAAAACAGGAAAACAAUGAAAGGAUGAAAGGUGAGAGGAUGAGAGUCAAGUUUACCAUGCUGCUAAAAAGCCAUUGAAGAACUUACAAGAAAAUGGUGAAGAGUAAAAGUUAUGAUUGGCUGUUUGCAAACUCUACCUGAAAGAGUGAAGGAUGAGAGAAGUGAUGGACUAAAUGGGCAUGAUGUGGAGAAACAACACUGCUCCCUGUGUGCUAUGCGGCUAAAUCUAGUGAGCCUGAUUCUGACUGAUGUAUGCAAGGAGAAACUUCAUGUUUGUGUGGUCAAGGGAGCAUCAAGCUGUAGAGGGGCAGAGAAGAGUUUAGGUCUAGUACUAAUAGAGCAUGAAAGAAUACAGAAGAGGCUGGGCCACUGUGAAAACAAAAAGAGUAAAAAAUUUGGGGAUGAAUGGAUAUACUGGGAGGUCAGAAUUGAAUGGAUAGAGAAGUUGGGAGAGGAGAGUGCAGUGAGCAAGUGAGAGUGAGGGAAUGAGGAUGGGUGACUGAAUGGCAGUACAAAGAAUGAUUGGAGAGACCCAAACUCUGAUACAUGAGUGACUGUCAAAUCUUGUGAGAAAGAACACAUGAAUGGCAUAGUGCAUGCAGUGUGAUAUGGCUGAAUUGAGGAGCACUGGGAGGAGAAGUAAAACUAAGGAGCCACAUGCAAAGAGAAAUAGCCACAGUGACUGAGAAAGGGAGACAGGAAUCUAUGUUGAUGCCUAGACUAUGGGAAAUGGAUGAAUUUAGACACUUGAGAGAUAUGCAAGGAAUAGGAAAAGAGAUAUAAAGAACUGUGAACCAUGAAUGUUUAAAACUCAGAAAGGAAAAAGGAAGAUGAACCUAGAAAUUUAGAGGGGGUCUGAAUGGAGACAGUGAGAAAUAAGAAAUGGAUAGAGAGAGACACACACAAAAAGAAUGAGCAGUAUUUUUGGAAAGAGAGAGCAAGAGAGUGUAUAAUGUAUUGAAAGAGACUUGUACGCAAGCAAGAGAUACUUGGGUGGAAAUAUCUGUACGUGGCAGUGUGUGUGUGAAAGCAGGAACCAAAGCCAUGAAGGAUGAUUAGCUGCAAAAUUUCAAAACCAUGAAAGGAUGAAAGGUGAGAGGGUGAUAGACAAGCUUACCUCACUGCUAAAGAGCCAUUGGAGAACAUGUACGUAUAUGGUGAAGAGUGGAAGUGAUAAUUGGCUAUUUGCAAAAUCUAAAAGAAGGAGUGAAGGAUGAGAGAAGUGAUGUACUGAAUGAAUAUAGUGUGGAGGGAUAAAGCUGUCCCCUGGAGGCUGUGUGGCUAAAUCUAGCACGCUCAGUUGUGUCCAAUGUAUGAAAGGAGAAACUUCAUGUUUGUGUGGUCAAGGAAUCAUCAAGCUGUAGAGGGGCAGAAAAGAGUUUAGGUCUAGUACUAAUAGAGUAUGAAUGGAUACAGAAGAGGCCGGGCCAUUGUGAAAAAAAAACGAGUGAAAAAAUAAGAGAGUGAAAUGAUGAGAUUGGGUGACUGAAUGGCAGAAUAAAAGAAUGAAUGGAGAGACCCAAACUCUGAUGCAUGAGUGACUAUCAAAUCUCAAUUAGAAGGAAUGGCAAGGAGUAUGUGUUGUGAGAUGAACGUUUUUUACAUUGUGAAAACAAGAAAAUGAGUGAGAAAAUGUGAGUCUGUUGGUAUGAAAGUUCAAGACAAUGAGAGUUGAGUGGCUAAAGAGAAAGACAGAGAAAAGUGGAGUGAGAAAUCCCGAUGGGGUGAAUGUGAGAAUGUGACACACAGAGACCAGAAAGACAGCAGUGAAAGGAGACCCAACCUCUGAUACUUGAAGGAAUAGUCAAAUUUCAAUAAGAAAAAGGAGUGAAUGGUAAGAGGCAUGUAAGGAGAAAUGACUGAAUUUGAAAGCACAAAAGAAAGGAAGAACGACUGGUGAGAUUGAAUAAAAGAGAAAUAUUUGGAGAGGGACAGUGAGGGAAGGAGAAAUGAAUGGAAAGGCAAGUCAACUGAGUGAAAGGUUUAGAAAAAGAGAUAUAUCAGCAGGGGAACAUAAUGGAUCUGAAGACAAAAAGAGGUAGAUGGUGUUGAUAUUCAGGUAGGAAAAGGCAAGCUAUUAGUAGAAGAGGACCCAAGACAAAAGAAUUGGAUAAAUGGGGAAAGAGGCAAAUGCAGUGAGGGUUAUAUAGAAAUGGAGAUGAAUUGAAUAAAAGAUUUAUAGCUGCAGAUCAGGACACAAUGAAGUGGGUUGGAAAGCCUAAAAAGUAAAGUAGAGAAGGUGGAGAAAUAGAGAUAGCUGAGCCUGUGAGAAGAUGAAGAUGCUGAAGAUUUAAUAAACAAUACUAGGAGGCAUAAACUCAGGGAGAGGAAGCUGAACCAAGAACAAUAUGAGAUAUCAUUGUGUCCUAGGAAAAUCCCUGAGUAUGAGAGAAAGUGUAGAGAGAUAGAAGGGAACCAAAUGUGACAAGCAUACAUACAGAAAUUGAGGGAUGAAUGGAUAUACUGGGAGGUCAGAACUAAAUGGAUGGAGAAAUUGUGAGAGGAGAGUUGAGUGAGAAAAUGAAAGUGAGAGGAUAAGAAUGGGUGACUGAAUGGCAGAAUAAAAGAAUGAAUGGAGAGACCCAAACUCUGAUAUAUGAGGGACUGUCAAAUCUCAAUGAGAAGGAAUGCAUGAAUGGUAAGGAAUAUGUAGUGUGAGAUGGAUGAACUGAGGAGCACAAGGAAGCAAAAUCUGUAGUUAGCCAGGGUGCCUGAGCGAGAGAUAUAAGUGUACGUGUUGAGACCUUGACUGUGGGAGAUGGAUGAAUUCAGACACUUGGGUGAUGUGAAAGGAAUGAGUAAAGAGAUAUCAGAAGCUGAGAAACAUGAAGGUCAAAAAGUCAGAAACUGAAAAGAAAGGGAAGAGAGACCUAGACAGCUGGAUGAAUCCAAGUGGAGAGAGAGAGAAAUAAGAGACGGAUGGAGUGAGGCACAAAAAGUGUGAGCAUUGUAUGGAAAGAGACAGCAAGAGUGUGAGUAAUAUAUGGAACGAGACAGCAAGAGAAUGCAUAAUGUAUUGAAAGCAAUGUAUGCAUGUAAGAGAAACGUGGCUGCAAAUACCUGUACUUUGCUGUGUGUGUGUGUGUGUGUGUGUGUGUAAGAAGUUUAUCUAUGAAUUCUUGAAAAAAUAACAAGGCCUUCAAAGGAUAAGAAGUGAGUGUGUGAGAGUCAAGCAUAAUACACUGCUAAAGAGACGUUGAAGAACAUGCAAGAAAAUGGUGCAGAGUGAAAGUGAAGAUUGGCUGUCUAGAAAAUCUACCCUGAAGGAGUGAAGCAUGAGAGAAGUGAUGGACUGAAUGUGCAUGAUGUGGAGAAGCAAGGCUGCUCCCUGUGGGCUAUGCGGCUAAAUCUAGUGAGCUGGAGUGUGACCAGUGUAUGAAAGGAGAAACUACAUGUUUGUGUGGUCAAGGGAUCAUCGAGCUGUGAGGGGCAGAGAAGAGUUUAGGUCUAGUACUAAUAGAGCAUGAAUGAAUACAGAAGAAGCCGGGCCACUGUGAAAAAAAAGAGUGAGAAAAUGUGAGAUUGCUGGUACGAAAGAUCAAGGGAGUGAGAAAUGUGAAGAUGGAAAGGCUCUGGAUGAGGGAAGCCUGAGCAGAGAAUUCUGUUAAUUUAACAAAGUGAGAAAGCAAAAUGGGAAGUAAUAAAGGAUGAGCUGCAGAUCAAAGGAAGAAAGCCAUGAUCUCAGAGGACAAGGAGAGAUAGAGUGGCUCUAGGGAACCACUGAGGUAGAGACAGGUACAUGUGGAUAGGGACUAGUGAGAUCUGGCUGCUACAAAUACUAUUUGAAUGUCAGACAUUUGUGUGAAAUAAGAUGUUGAAUGGGACUUGGAUGUGUAGAGCAAGGACAAUUUUGAGUGAUGAAUGGGACAUAUGCAGAAUGUGCGAGUUGAGUGGCUGAAGAGAAAGAGAGAGGAGAGUGGAGUGAGAAAUGCUGAGAGGGUGAAGCUAAGAAUGUGAGACAUAGAAACCACAAAGUGAGGAGUGAAAGGAGAGACCCAACCUCUGAUACUUAAGGGGACAGUCAAGUUCCAAUAAGAAAUAAGCAUGAAUGGAGCGAGGAAUGCAAUGUGAGAUGACUGAAUUGGGGAGCACGAGAGAAAGGAGUGAGAAUGAAUGAAAGAGAAACAUUUGGAUGAGAAAAGCAAAAAUGAAUGCCAACUGAGGACUACAGCGGGAAAAGUCUAUGAAAGGACACAUAUCAGUAGGGGAGCCCCAAUGGAUGCAAAGAAUGAUUGGUGCAGCGACUGCUUGGCCAAGAUCCAAUGGAAGAGUUCUUGAGAUUGAAAGAGAUGGAUGAAUGGAGAAAGGGGAAAAAAUGAAUAAUGGGGGGAACAAGAUUAAGAGCAAGUGAGGGAUAUAUGGAAAUGGAUGUUACAGGGUUAAUGAUUUGUGAAUGCAGAUCAUGAGACACAGUAAGGUAGGUUGGAAAGCCUAACAAGUAAAGGAAAGAUAGUUGAGAAAACAGAGAUAGCCAAGGCUGUAAGAAUUUCAAGAUGUUGAGGAUUUAAUAAGCAAUAGGGGAGAGAAACUUAGGCAGAGGCAGCUGAAUUAAGAGAAGUAUGAGAGAUGACUGUGUCCUAGGAAAAGUCUCUGAGGGGUGAGAUGUCUCAGAGUGAUAGAAGGGAACAAAUGGGACAUGCAAGCAUAAAGAAAGAAAGGGAUGAAUAGAUAUCAUGAGGUUUCAAAGUUGAAUCGAUGAAGGGUAGAGAGAGGAGAAUGGAGUGAGUAAAUAAGAGAGUCAGAGGAUGAGGAUGAUUGAUCGAAUGGCAGAACCAAAAGAAUGGAUGGAGAGACCCAAACUCUGAUAUGUGAAUGACUGUAUGAAUGGCAUAUUGUAUGUGAUGUGAGAUGGCUGAAUUGAGCACUGGGAGGAGAAGCAAAACUGAGGAGCCAAAUCCAAAGAGAAAGAGUUAGCCAGAGUGCUUGAGAAAGAAAGAAAAGUAUCCAUGUGGAGAACUAGACUGUGGCAAAUGGAUGAAGUAGAAUCAGUGUUGUGAGAGGAAUGGGUGAUGAAAUAUAUAUGUAUAUGUAUAUGUAUGUAUGUAAUGAGUACCACGAAUGUCUAGACUCAGAGAGAACAAAGGGAAGAGAGACCUAGAUAGUGAGAGGGAUCCAAAUGGAGACAGUGAGAAAUAAGAGACAGAAGGAAAGAGAGAUCAAGAGAGUAAGUGAUGUAAGAAAAGAGAGCUGGACACAAUUAAGAAGUGCUUGGUUUUACAUAAUUGUACUUUGUAGAAUAUGUGUAAAAGCAGAAGCCUUAGCCAUGAACGAUGAGUUCCUGAAAAAAAAAUCUAAACUUUGAAAGGAGGAAAAGCGAGAGGGUGAGAGCCAAGUAUAAUACACUGCUAAAGAGCCGUUGUGGGACAUGAAAAUGGGAAAGAGUGAAAGUAAUGAUUGGCUGUUUAGAAAAUCUACCUGAAGGAGUGAAGGAUGAGAGAACUGAUGUAUGGAAUGAGUGUGGUGUAUAGAGACAAAGAGGGAAAAGGAUGAGUGGAAGGAAACAUGCAAUGUAAGAACAUUGAAUUGGGGAGGAACAAGAAAAGGAAGAAUGAGUGGUGAGACUGCAUGAAAAGAGAAGCAUUUGGAGGACACUGCUAGAAAGGGAAAUGAAUAUGAGCAUAAGUCAAAGGUGUACAAAAGGUGAUUUCAGUAGGAGAGCCCAAUGAAUACUUCAAUUAAAGGAGGGAGAUUCUGCUGAUAUCCAGGAAUGAAAAGGCUAGGAAUUAGUGGAUAAGGACUGAAGACGGAAAGGAGAUACAUGAACAGAGAAAGAGGAAUAUUAGCAAUGGAUGUAAAAAGAGGCAAAGAGAGGGAGAGGUGUAUGGAAAGGAAGCUGUGCUCAGUGAACGUUUUAUGGCUGUAAGUAUUGAGACAGUAGGGUGGGUGGGAAGCCCAAGAAGUAAAGGAAGGAUGUAGGAGAAAAUAGAGAUAGUUGAGGCUGUAAGAAGGUCAAGAUGCUGAGAUUUAAGUAGGCAAGAGUGGGAGGGAUAACUUCAGGGAGAGAAAGCUGAAUCAAGAGCAGUAUGAGAAUUGACUGUGUCAUAGGAAAAGUCCCUGAGGGAGAGAGAAGCCCCAGACAUUAGGGAACAAGUAGGAGAUGUACACAAAGAGAAAGUGGGGAGUGGAUAUCCUGGGGUGUCACAGUUGAACGGAGAAAGAGAAGUAGGGAGAGGAGAGUGGAGAGGGAAAACGAGAGUGAAAAAGUAAGCAAGGCAGAACCCACAGAAUGAAAGGACAGACCCAAACUGAUAGAUUAGUGACAAAUGUCAAGAAAAAGGAAUGCAUUACAGGAUGAAGUCAGGGUGUGAGACAGCUGAAAUGACGAGUAAAAGGAAGAGAAGAAAGGAUGUGAAGCCAUAGCAAUGAAGAAAGUUAGCUAGGGUGCUUGAGGGAGGGGAAGAAGGAAUCAAUGUUGAGACCCAGAUAGUGAGAGAAGACUGAAUGGAGAAAGUGGGAAAUGAGAGAACAGUAACCACAUCUCUCUCCACAUCUCACCACCUUUAAAACAUUGAGAAGUUAAGUUACAGACCCCCCCAGAACUAGCUAUGAAAACAGCAGGGAGAAUGAUUCUGAACUUUGGGACAAUGACACACAUUUCCCCCACCUUACUCUAAGAGCUUAUCAGAGCCCAAGUCUAACAUAAAAGUAAAAAAUCAAGAUGUUGACUUGGCAAAUAGGCAAACCAUUAAAAGGUAUCUAUUGACAAGGAACCUCAAGACACAAACUCAGAUGACCACAAUAAUCUGAAAAUUUCAAAGAAAAAUGCAAAGUGGAACUAAACAAAAGAGAAAGAUGAAAAAAUGAAGCAAAAAUAAUUUCUUAAACUCAAAGAAGAACACUAGAGGAAACCUGUGGGAAAAAUGAGAGCAAUGCAAGAAAAAUAUGCAAAGAGAAUUGGUGGCUUAGAAAAAGAGAUACAAAAACAAUGAAAAAAUAACUACAUAUAAAGCAGAAUUGGCCAAGGGAAAAAAGAGGUACAGAGUAUCACUAAAGAAAAUAAUUCUUGAAAAGUUAGAAUUGGUCAAGUAGAAAGCUAAUGACAACUAUGAGUGAUCAAAAAACAAGAAAACAUAUCAAAAUAAUGAAAAAAUGUGAAAUAUCUUUUCAGAAAAACAAGUUACCCAGAAUUUCUUAAACUCAAAGAAGAACAGUAAAGGAAACGUGGAAAAAAUGAGAGCAAUGCAAGAAAAAUAUGCAAAGAGAAUUGAUGGCUUAGAAAAAGAGAUACAAAAAUACUGAAAAAUAACUACAUAUAAAGCAGAAUUGGCCAAGGGAAAAAAGAGGUACAGAGUAUCACUAAAGAAAAUAAUUAUUGAAAUGUUAGAAUUGGUCAAGUAGAAAGCUAAUGACAACUAUGAGUGAUCAAAAAACAAGAAAACAUAUCGAAAUAAUGAAAAAAUAGAAAAAAUGUGAAAUAUUUUUUCAGAAAAACAAGUUACCUGGAAUUUCUUAAACUCAAAGAAGAACACUAGAGGAAAUAUGUAGAAAAAUUGAGAGCAAUGUAAGAAAAAUAUGCAAAGAGAAUUGAUGGCUUAGAAAAAGAGAUACAAAAAUACUGAAAAAAUAACUACAUAUAAAGCAGAAUUGGCCAAGGGAAAAAAGAGAAUUGAUGGCUUAGAAAAAGAGAUACAAAAAUACUGAAAAAAUAACUACAUAUAAAGCAGAAUUGGCCAAGGGAAAAAAAAGAGGUACAGAGUAUCACUAAAGAAAAUAAUUCUUGAAAAGUUAGAAUUGGUCAAGUAGAAAGCUAAUGACAACUAUGAGUGAUCAAGAAACAAGAAAACAUGUCAAAAUAAUGAAAAAAUAGAAAAAAUUUGAAAUAUCUUUUCAGAAAAACAAGUUACCUGGAAAAGAGAUCAAGAAAUGAUCAAUUAAGAAAUAUUAAGAAAGCCUCGACAUCAUAUUUCAAAAUAUUAUAUUAUAAAUGAAAACCGCCCAUGCUUUUUAGAACCAGAAAGUAAAAUAGAAAAUGAAAGAAUUUAUAGUCAUAUCCUGAAAGCAAAACCAAAAUGAAAACUCCCAGGAAUAAGAGACAAAUUCUAGAGCUUUUUACUUGAGGAGAGAAACUACUUAAAGCAUCCAGAAAGAAAAAAAUUUCAAUACUUUGCAGCCAUAGUCAAGAUCGCAUAAAAUUUAGCGGGUACUAAGAUAAAGGGGCAGAGGGAUUAUAUAACAAUUUCAUAAAAAAAAGAGGGGGAGGGAGGAAGAAGAAGAGGGGGAGAGAGAGAGAGACAGGAAGGGAGAGAGAGACAGAAAUAGACAGAGAUGGGGGAAGAGAGAGAGGAGCAGGCAGAGAGACAGAGAUAGAGAAACAGGAAGGGGAAGAAAAACAAGAGAUUGAGAGACUCAGACAGAAGGGGGCAAGAGAGAGAGAGGAAGGGAGAGAGAAACAGGAAGGGGGAGAGAGACAGAGGGAGACUCAGAAGGGGGGAGAGUAGCAAAAGAGAGGAGGGGAGACAGAGACAGGAGGAGGGAGAGACAGAUAGGAGUUGAGAGAGAAAGAGACAGAAAUGGGGAAGAGAGACAGACAGACAGGCACAGGAGGAGAGAGGGAGAGACAGAUAAGAAAGGAGACAGAGAUAGAGGAGGGGGAGAUCAAGACAGACAGAGACAGGAGGGGGGGAACAGAGACAGACAGGAGGGGAAAGAGAAAGAUAAAAGGGAGAGAGACAGGAGGAGGGAGAGAUUCAGGAUGUGAGAGACAGACAGAAGGGGAGAGAGAGAAUGGGGGGAGAGAAACAGAGAGAGGGGGAAGAGAGAGACAGAUCAGAGGAGGGAUAAAUAGGAAGGGAGAAAGACAGAAAGAGACAGGGAAGAGAGGGGGGGAAAGAGACAUAGGAGGGGAGACAGGGAGAGACAGGCAGGAAGGGAGAAAGAAACAGGAGGGGGAGAGAGCAAGAGAGAGUAAAAGAAAGGGCAAGAGAGCAACAGACAGGAGGCGAGAGAGAGAUAAUCAGAAAAAUAGAAAGGAGAUGAGAGAGAGAGACAGAUAGGAGGGAGAGAGAGACAGAGACAAGAGGGGAGAGAGACAGACAGAAAAACAAACAGGAAGGGAGAGACAGAGACAGGAGGGUAGAGACAGAUAGGAGUGAGGAGAGAAACAAAGGGAGAGACAGGGUGACAGAGAUAGAGGAGGGGAGAGAGACAGAGUGAAAGAGAUAGAGGGGGGAAAGAGUCAGAGAUAGGAAGGGGGAGAGAGACUGAGACAGAAAGACAGACAGACAGGAGGGGGGAAGAGCGAGAGAGAGUGAAAGAGAAGGUGAGAGAGCUAGAGAAAGGAAGAGGGGAGAGAGACGUAGAUAGGAAGGGGAGAGAGAGACAAAGACAGGAGGGGGAGAGAGAUAAUCAGAAAAAUAGAAAGGAGGGGAGAGAGGGAAAGACAGAGAGUGACAGAGAUAGAGGAGGGGAGAGAGAGAGACAGAUAGGGAGAAAGAGACAGUGACAGGAGCAGGGAGAGAGAGUCAAAGACAGGAGGGGGACAGAGAAAGAUAAACAGGAGGGGAGAGACAGAUGGGAGUGAGGAGAGAGAGAGACAAAAGGAAAGACAGUGACAGAGAGACAGAAAGACAGGAGGGGGGAGAGAGAGAGUGAAAGAGAGAUAGAAAAAGGAGGAGGGGAGAGAGACAGAAAGACAGGAGGGGGAGAGAGGCACACAGACAGACAGAAAGGGAGAGACAGAAACAGAGUAAAAGAGAUAGAGGGAGGAGAGGAAGAGGGGGGAAGGAAGAGGAUGGAGGAAAAAACAAAUCAACAGAGUGACCCCUUGAGUGAGAGAUGGAUGGGUAUAUUGAAAUAGCAAGGGAACAUUACAUAAUUAGAAAAAAUUAACCAGGAAAUGGUAGGUGAAUGGUCAAAGACAAAGAUACAGGGAGAGAAAAAUUGAUUGAGAAAGAUAGAUACAGCAGGGUGACAAUGAUUGAUGCACAGGCACUGAAAGUGUGAAUGGAGAAAUUCAGGCUGUAGGUAAGGUGACAGAGAGAUCUAACUAGCAGAAAGUGAAUGAACAGUAUGAAAUGUAAGAUGGCCGAAUUGGGAAUUAGCAGGAAAGAGAUAAAUGAACAAAAUGAAUCUUGUUAUAGAGAAUGAGACAAACGGAUCUCUUAGACUAGACACUUGGAGAUAAAGAAAUAAAAAGUUAGAAAGAAUUCAGCAUUGCAAAACCCAUGGCUGAAUAGCCCAAGAGAAGCAUGGAAUAGUGAAUGCUAAUAUUAAAAACCCAAGAAAAAUGGAAGAGUGUGUAAGAUAUCAAAAAAUGAAUUCGUGGAGAAAUCAGAAUCACAAAGAAAAAAUGGUAAGAGAGAUAAAAAUACAUGGAAAAAGUUAUACUAAGUGAGAGAUUCUUGGCUGAAGAUGCAUGUAUGAGUGAAUAGUUAAUAGUCAAAAUUGAAAUUAGAAAGAAGGAAGGAAUGACGAGAGUUCUACAAUGCAAGAUGAAGUGAGAACAGUUGGCAAGACUGAAAUGAAAUGGUUAGACGGAGCCAUGUUCGAAAGGAUAUUUAGAUUAGCUGAAGAAAGGAGACGUGAAUGGAUGGCAAGGCCUAGAAGGUAACAGAUGAAUGAAUAUUGAGGCAAAAGUAGCAAGGAUAUUGUGAUUACAAAGAGCUGGAAAAUGAAAAGCAAACGACUAUAUUGAGAAUUAGAUAUGGAAUAUUUGCUGAGAUCCUGACACUGAGAUUCAGGUGAAAGUACAAAUCUAGAAAGUAAGGUUUAGAUACUUAGAAAAACAACCCAAGUGGGAAAUGGAAGUGUAAAGUCAAGUCCCAAGUCAGAAUUACCUGCUUAGAAAAACACUCUGGAAUUGGCUGGGGAGAUAUGGAUUAAUGGAAAGGCUUAGACAGGGACGAAUGCAUUACUUGCAGGGACAGGUGGGAGUUAGGUGUGUAUACCAGCAGGGAGGUACUCAGAGAGACAGACAGACAGGAGGGAAGAGACAGAGACAGGAGUGGGGAGAGAGACAAACAAACAGAAAGGGAGAGACAGAGUGAAAGAGGGGGAAGUUAGGUGUGUAUACCAGUAAUACAGAUGUGAGGAAUAGGGUAAAAUGAGGGUGGGAAUAAUAGAGAAUUCUAGGAGGGAAAGAAAGAUAAAAGAACAGAAGGAGGGUUAGGCGUGAUCAAGAGAGACCCAAAUGGAGCUACACAACGGACGGAUCACAGCGAUGGAUUCCAUGGAGAAAAUGCAACGGAUCAAGAAACAGCUGGAGUGGAUCUGUGAUGAAGGAAUACAGAUCAGCAAACAGCAAUCCUGAGAGGUGAACAUUUACAGCUUUGGAGGCUACCUCACGAAUCCAGGAGAUCCAGAGACUUCGAAUAAGAGUUGUCCGACAAGAAGGAACUGUUUUCUUGCAACUGGACCCAUUUUUGGAGAAAUGAACAUACAUCGGGACUGGAAUGGACCAUGUGACCUUGGAAAGUUCAGAAGAGCUACUGGAGGUUCGGGAGCUUGAGUCCGAGACAAACUUGGUAAUCGCCGAGCCUAGUCUGCCAGCACGGCCCCAAGGGACAGCCAAGACGCCAGGUCCUACAAGCAAGAAAGCAACUCUGUCCAUUGCGCCACGUUCAGAAUUUAACAUGGCACGCAAAUGCAUUGGAGCAGAAACUUUAAGUUUCAUCUCACUUUCCUCAGGAACUAAGGUGGUUUGGGGGAAUAUAUGCCCUGGACUGUGUCUUCUCAGUGAAUAGAUCUUUGUAACAGGAAAUUGAUGUCUAUUGGUUAAAAGGAGGCAAUAAUAAACCCACAAGCACUGGCAACUGAUACUGAAUAAAAAACAUUGUUAAAGGCUCAGGCCAAAAGCAUUAGAACAAAACAUUUUCAAUCUUUCAGAGACAGUCCUAGAACCCUGAGGUGAGAUGGAGGAGCUGACCCUGGAAAGUCAAAGCUGCAGAGCACAGCCUGCAUACUCAGUUUCUCUCCUUACUGUUUCUUAGGAUCUUUGGGGAUGAAAGAGAGGGGAAGACUGGGAGGAAAAGCAGGAGGAGCAGUCUAAAUAUGAUUAAGGACCAAGUAUCACAUCUAGGAGCUCUGAAAUUUGUUGCCUUGUGUUUGUGCUGUUGUUUUUUUUGUUUUGUUUUGUUUUGUUUUUUAACAUGACCACUUUAUAUUGAUUGCAUCUUAUAAAUGAAAGAUUUAUCCAGAAUAAGGUAAUUCCAGAAUUGGGGCAGAAUGUGGCUGUAGAUUUUAUUUUUCUUAUUACUGAGAUAUAUGUAUUGCACCUUUAACUUAAAUUAAGGAGCAGGCCAGGACCACAUGCCUCCAUGGGAAGGGAACUAGUCUGAGUUUGUUCAGGCUGAGUUCCCUCUUGUAGCCAAUGGAGAUGCUAAAACAUUUGAGAAAGGCUAUUUGGGGGAGGUACCAGUGCAAGUCUAAUGGUGCCUCUAGGGUAAUGGCUGCAAUAGUGUCGCAUAGUCAACAAUUCAUAUGCUUCCCUCUCUCUUUAGAUGAUUACUAUCAUAUCUACCUACUAGGGCUUCAGGAUGGUGGCACAGGAACUGUGUGGACCAAGUCCAAUUCCAAGUAUUUCAUGCAGCCUUUACCAUUGUCACAGAGAGAUGAUGAUGAUCACAAGACAACUUUCCAAAAUUUAGGGGAGUCGGUGAAAGCAGUCCUCAAAAUCAUAUUUUCUCUCUGAAAACAUUAAUAUGAUGAAGAAAGAAUAUUAUUGACUGAGUAAUCUAAUCCUGGAAUACUAGGAUGAUUAGGAGAAACUUACCAAAUUUAGGGGAGUCGGUGAAAGCAGUCCUCAAAAUCAUAUUUUCUCUCUGAAAACAUUAAUAUGAUGAAGAAAGAAUAUUUUUGACUGAGUAGUCUAAUCCUGCAACGCUAGGGUGACCAGGAAAAACUUACCAAAAUUUAGGGGAGUCAGUGAAUGCAGUCCCCCAAAUCAUAUUUUCUCUCUGAAAACAUUAACAUGACGGAGAAAGAAUAUUUUUGACUGAGUAAUCUAAUCCUGGAACGCUAGAAUAACCAGGAGAAACUUACCAAAAUUUAGGGUAGUUGGUGAAAGCAGUCCCCAAAAUCAUAUUUUCUCUCUGAAAACAUUAACACAAUGGAGAAAGAAUAUUUUUGACUGAGUAAUCUAAUCCUGGAAUACUAGGAUGAUUAGGAGAAACUUACCAAAUUUAGGGGAGUCGGUGAAAGCAGUCCCCCAAAUCAUAUUUUCGCUCUGAAAAUAUUAACACAAUGGAGAAAUAAUUUUAUUAAUUGAGUAAUCUAAUCCUGGAACUCUAGGAUUUACUUACAAAAUGUAAAAGAAAAUUCUUCACAUGCUGAAAGAAUCAAAUUGAGAGUGUCAGUCAAGCAGCUUUACAAUUGGAAGCACAGAAACUAAGACUAUUGCCCAUUUCAUCAGUGUGCCCCAGGGGCUGAGGAAGGUGGGAGAGGAUAAGGAUGGGACAAAACAGCUCCCACUUGUGGGGUGGAACCUCAUCACAAGUAUAUAUUUAUGUUGGAUCCUUUUCCUGAACCCAGGAAGUAUCUUCACUGUAUAUGUACAUCCAGGAUGACAGUGAAUCCCACCCCAUCCUUCCCCUACCAGCAGCAAAAAGGGAGCAAGCCACAGUUCUCAGACUCUCCCUCCACUGCUAUAAAGGAGAGAGCGUCAACCCACAACUGUCAGCUCCCUUCCCUCUUCUCUUUCUCAUCAACUGCAAAGAAAGAACACCCAGUCACCAGAGUUGACACUAGGAAAUUUUGGGGGGACAAUAAUUCCAGGUGUCUUGCUGUGGGUUUGGAGUGGAGAUAUAGCCUCUUCCACUCUCAAAUUAGACACAAAGGAAAUAAAUCCUUCAUUAAAUCCCAUUGUUGCUGUUAAUUGGAACUAAGAAAUAAUGAGAGGUAGUUAUCUAUGCCCUAUGACACGAGACGUGCCUCUGGAUUCCUCCAGGAAGUGGAAAGUAUUGGGAUGGUUAGCGAGGAUUGUCUGAAGGGUAAGGGGAUAGUGGGGGGUGGUCAGCAAGUAGGCUUUGGGUGCCUUCUCACAGUCCUGCAAAUGGGGAAGGGAGGGACAACUUUGCUCCUAAUCCACGUGUAUAUGCUCCCCAUUCCCUCCUCCCUCCCAGCAUUGUACCCUCUGUUGCCAGGCUCCGUGCCCUUCCCUCUACUUAGUUCCCAUCAGCCAGCAAAAAGGAGAGAGUGACUAUACCUCUUUUUUCCUCCAAGCAGAACAAGUAAUCUUUGUAUGAAGUUAUAAUUUAGCUUAAUUUACUUAAAAACUUUCCCAUUUUAUAAAAAGAGAACAGUUUGGAACAAAAAAAGCAACUCUGCAAGAAAAAGAUUAGUGCUAAAUGGAAUCCAGCUCCCGCAGCCCGAUGCUCAGGAUCAGUAAAGGGCAUUACCAAGAUGAUUCCUUGCAUGUAUAGCUUGGACCACAUGGAAGUUGAGGUCCCUGUCAACUCUCACCAUCUAUAACCCUGUGGGUCUCAACUUUAAUACUCCUCUCAGAGAGUUCUACCAGUAGACAUACCCCCACCCAAUGUAGACACCUAAAGAAUGGGAACUAAAGAGGGCCCAAGUUUGACCCCAAGCGGAGAGCUAACUAAAAUGGCAGAAAAGGUCAGACUUGCAUAGUAUUAGAGAGACAGAAAUGGCAUGAAAUGAAACAAAAUUAAAUACAAGCACUUGAAGCAAGGGAGUUUAAACACAAGGUAUCGCUCAGGAAGGGAGAGUGGCUAUCUGACAUAAAGAAAACAGGAAAUGGGGAGCAGGGUGCUCUGGGAGCUCAACCCCUGCUUCUGUUCCUUUUCCAGAGAUAUCCUGCAUUGAAAUACAACUUCAAGCUCAUUCCCCAUGAUGAAUGCUCUACUCCUAGUGGGACUAAGAAAAUAAAUGACUGUGUCUGGGAGGGAGGAGCUUGUGUCUUCUUGGGAAUGCCCAAAGCACCCCAACAGCCUGUGGUCGAUUUCCACUCUUCUGAUUAAAACUUUUAUCAAGUA